UAUGGGGGGGGCAAGCGUUGUUCGGAAUUACUGGGCGUAAAGGGCUCGUAGGCGGCCAACUAAGUCAGACGUGAAAUCCCUCGGCUUAACCGGGGAACUGCGUCUGAUACUGGAUGGCUUGAGUUUGGGAGAGGGAUGCGGAAUUCCAGGUGUAGCGGUGAAAUGCGUAGAUAUCUGGAGGAACACCGGUGGCGAAGGCGGCAUCCUGGACCAACACUGACGCUGAGUGAGCGAAAGCCAGGGGAGCAAACGGG
rnacentral:rRNA from 1 species